GACGAACGCUGGCGGCGUGCCUAAUACAUGCAAGUCGAGCGGAACUGGGGGAGCUUGCUCCUUCCAGUUUAGCGGCGGACGGGUGAGUAACACGUGGGCAACCUGCCCUGCAGAUCGGGAUAACUCCGGGAAACCGGUGCUAAUACCGAAUAGUUUGGCGCCUCUCCUGAGGCGCUACGGAAAGACGGUUUCGGCUGUCACUGCAGGAUGGGCCCGCGGCGCAUUAGCUAGUUGGUGGGGUAACGGCCCACCAAGGCGACGAUGCGUAGCCGGCCUGAGAGGGUGACCGGCCACACUGGGACUGAGACACGGCCCAGACUCCUACGGGAGGCGGCAGUAGGGAAUCUUCCGCAAUGGACGCAAGUCUGAUGGAGCAACGCCGCGUGAGUGACGAAGGUUUUCGGAUCGUAAAACUCUGUUGUGAGGGAAGAACACGUACCAACUGACUAUUGGUACCUUGACGGUACCUCACCAGAAAGCCACGGCUAACUACGUGCCAGCCGCCGCCGUAA
rnacentral:rRNA from 1 species